AGAGAGAGACAUGCGCGCAUAUCAAUAAGCGGAGGAAAAGAAACUAACAAGGAUUCCCCUAGUAACGGCGAGUGAAGCGGGAAGAGCUCAAAUUUGAAAUCUUAAAGGGUUUCCCUUUACGAAUUGUAGUUUAAAGAAGUGUUUUCUGUUGAGGUUUUGGUAAAAGUUCUUUGGAAUAGGACAUCAUAGAGGGUGAGAAUCCCGUAUUUGACCUUUACUUUCAACUUUGUGAUACACUUUCAAAGAGUCGGAUUGUUUGGGAAUGCAGUCCAAAAUGGGUGGUAAAUUUCAUCUAAAGCUAAAUAUUGGCGAGAGACCGAUAGCGAACAAGUACCGUGAGGGAAAGAUGAAAAGAACUUUGAGAAGAGAGUUAAACAGUACGUGAAAUUGUCAAAAGGGAAGCGUUUGACACCAGUGUUGUUUUUCUGAAAAUCAAUUAAAGAACUGUUUAUGCUAAGCUGUUUAGACUUUAUCAGCUAUCUGUUUAGUUUUGAGCUUUUCUUUAAUGCACUUUUCAGUUAACAAGUCAACAUCAAUUUCUUUUGCUGUAAAAAAGCUUGAGGAAGGUGGCUUGAGAUUCGUCUUAAGUGUUUAUAGCCUCUUGCCUAUGCAGUCGGAGAGAUUGAGGUCUGCAGCGUAGAUCCUUCGGGGCUAAAUGCAUUUGUGCUAAGUUAUAGCAUUUUAUAGACAACUUGUUGACUAUGAUUUGUCUUGUAGCUUACUCGCUUAUGUUAUUUUACCUACGCUUAGGAUGUUGACGCAUGAGAUAUACGC
rnacentral:rRNA from 1 species